AUUGAACGCUGGCGGCAUGCCUUACACAUGCAAGUCGAACGGUAACAGGUUAAGCUGACGAGUGGCGAACGGGUGAGUAAUACAUCGGAACGUGCCCAGUAGUGGUGGAUAGCUCGGCGAAAGCCGGAUUAAUACCGCAUACGACCUAAGGGUGAAAGGGGGGGAUCGCAAGACCUCUCGCUAUUGGAGCGGCCGAUGUCAGAUUAGCUAGUUGGUGGGGUAAAAGCUCACCAAGGCGACGAUCUGUAGCUGGUCUGAGAGGACGACCAGCCACACUGGGACUGAGACACGGCCCAGACUCCUACGGGAGGCAGCAGUGGGGAAUUUUGGACAAUGGGCGCAAGCCUGAUCCAGCCAUGCCGCGUGCGGGAAGAAGGCCUUCGGGUUGUAAACCGCUUUUGUCAGGGAAGAAAACCUUUGGGUUAAUACCUCGGGGGGAUGACGGUACCUGAAGAAUAAGCACCGGCUAACUACGUG
rnacentral:rRNA from 1 species